UUUAGCAAAAUUCCUCCCUAUUAAAAAAAAAAAAUGAAAAGCAAAAUAUUUAAAUCCUAAGACUAGUCGAAUCCACAUCAAACACUCCUGAGCUUGCGCAACACCGUAUUCUUACCCUCCCCGCCACGCUAAAACCCCUAAUCCCAGCACAAAACCCUUUCAGCCCGCAUUUCUAAUCCUCAGUCCUUUCCCUCAGCUCCCGCUGCAGAGUGCAAACACACCGAAACUUAACAAAAAUAUCAGUAAUGGCUGCUGCUUGGCGUGGCUCCAUUUCCAGAUCACUCCUCUCCACCGCGAGAGCCUCCACCUUCCGAUCAGCUCCAGCUGUGCCCCGCGUCCGUCCUCCAACUCUUUCCUCCCUUCGUCUCCGUCCUCGUCGCCUCUCCUUCGCCCAUCCUAGGACAACGGGCGAGCUGGGAUGCGCUCAAUCCCUGAUGCCUCUGUGCAAUGUGACGGCCGGAGCCCAACUGACAUCCCACUUGACUGCUAACUUGCGGGCUUGUUGCGAGCUGUCUCACGGUACCUUCUGCCGAACUUGUCAGGAUCGCUAGUAGUAGGAGGAAUGGAAAAGAUGGGUGAUGUCAGCUGCAAUUCCGAGCAUCCAAAGGCGGGAGUAAUGGUCGCACUGUACUUGAACAUGUUGUUGGAUCAGCACAACAGCUGCUAGUUGACUUGGACAAACCUUACAGGAACUGCUUCUUGGAAUUGCAAAUUUCAAUGAGAAUAGGUGUAGGUCGUUUGUUCACUUUUUUCCUUAGAAACUAGAAAUUUAAUGACUUAGAACAAUAUCGUGGAUUACUCGAGCAAGUGGGUUGUGAUCUUCAUAUAAUUUUGAUGCAUGAAUUUCUCGUUCUAAAAUUCCUAGCUUUGCUGUUAUAGUUUCCUUUCAACGUGUAAAUUUCUACUUGGCUUCAAUAUUGCAGCUUCCUCUCUGUCAUGUA